ACAGCCCUUCUCAGAGGGAAGGAGAGGCUCAGAGAACAGCAUCUGCACCUCAGCAAAAGUGCAUGUCCCCCUCUGCUUCCCCACAUAAUACUUUGGAAGAUUGAAGGGUGCUGGCCACAAGCCUGAGAAGAUUGAGCUUGUCCCCUCACACCACUAAUGAGAGCAUACCAAUCAACACCGUGGCUAAUUGGCUCCUCAGUCCACUGCUUCACCUUCCUGGCAGGAAGAAGAUGUGAAGACAGAGGAGAGAGGAGCAGGACUCCCUUUAAGUGACAGGUGGGUUUGGGCAAAGGUAAGACUACAAGGAAAAAGCAACAAAAGGAA
rnacentral:lncRNA from 1 species